ensembl:lncRNA
CACUUCUCUUCAUCCAGAGAAUCCCAAUUUGCUUUACGGAGAAUUGCUGGAAUUGCAGGAAGAACUUUGUGGCAGAAUUUGUCCAGCAGUGCUUGCACUCAUUCUGCGUUAAGUGGUACAUCCACAUGUGUGCAUGGCUAUGCGAGUGGCUGAAACCAUCACACUAAGAGAGUCUGUCCAUAUGACCUUUAGCAAUAUGUUAACAGUCCCACUCGCAAACUGUUUGCAGGAAUCAGUUUUCCUUCCCUUCACUUCAAAGUUGGAUGCUGAGCUACAUGACUCUCCAAUUCUUUUGACUGGUCUUUCUGUUCUCUGAAGAUUGACUCAUUUCCUGUGUUUGAAUAAGAUAGUAAAAGUGGAUAUGAAAUAUUAUUUUGCAAUUGUAAUCAGAAUAGCUCUCAGUGCAGAUAUUAAUAGUGAAUUCUAAGACUCUGCCUGAUAACAGCUGAGUUUAUGGUUUCAUGGGUUAGAUUCUGCUCUCAUUUAUUUCACUGUAAACCCAGAGUAACUGUCAAAAGUCAGUGGAUUUGCUCCAGAUUUCUGCAAAUGUAACGGAGGUCUGCCUCUUGCUCCAUGUUUCUCCUACGGUGUUGGUGACAUCAGCAGCCUGGGUGUGUGAAUCAGGGCACAGAUGAAUCAAUGCAGGCAGAAUUGAAAGCAGCUCAUUCCCUUAACUAAAACCACUGCUCUUUGGAUUCUUCUCUAUAAAGAGAUCCAUUAUUCAUUGCUCUUCGGAACCAGUUCAUAUUAUGGUCUACAGAACACUGAAGCAUGAAAACUUGAAGAAUUCAAAGCAGAGGUACAGAAAAAACAGGCAGCAAUGAAGUAUGUGGCUCUUAGUACUUUAGGAGAGGCCGUUGAGCAAGACCUCCUUUGGAAUGUGGUUUGGCUGUUAAUUCUUGAUUUUGCUAACUGUUGUGUUGCUUCAGACUUUUCAGAAGUGUGUACAUAUCUAUGUUUGAAGGACUGUGGAAGGAUCCAACUGAAUCUUGCUUUGCCAGCUAGGGUUCAAAGGCUGAACUGCAAACUGUAGUUCUGAAAUGUGCCUCAGCCAUUAACUCAAGUCAGAAAUGUUACCUUUGCACACCUGUCCUAAGUAUACAGAAGAAAAACAUCAAAAAUUUUAACACAGUGGAAUUUUAUGAUCAUCCCAUGCCAGCUGUUUCAUCUUUUGACUCAAACAAUCUAUCAUGGCCUCAGCCUAAAAAUGGAGAACAUUUAAGACUAUCUUUGUCAGGGUUGAAACAAACUGUAGAAAGUAAAGUGUUCCUUUAUGAUGAGAUGCAUUAAAGCUGGCCCUUAAGUAACUUAAAGUUAAGACCAUUGAUCUUGGUUAAGGUUCAUAGGGAUCGAGAGCAUGCUGCUAACUACUAGUGGGUCUCAGUUGCCCAAAGGUAUUAAAGGAGUCAGAGUUCAGUUGCAGCUAAAAUUUCCUGUUUUCCUGGAUAUUACAAAGUAGCAGAUUUUAAAACAUGGUUAUAAGAUGGUUGCUCAAGAUGGAUUUUCAAGCAUGCUGUGAAAGGUCUGCACGUGCUUAACCUGAUGCUGUGGCCAAAUCACAUCAGUUCUUUGAUUAAAACAACAGUGCAGCAGUGCAGACCUGUUAAUUUAAGUUCUGCACAUCACAUGCCCAG